rnacentral:rRNA from 1 species
CCUACGGGAGGCAGCAGUGGGGAAUCUUGCGCAAUGGGCGAAAGCCUGACGCAGCAACGCCGCGUGCGGGAAGAAGGCUUUCGGGCUGUAAACCGCUUUCAGCAGGAACGAAAAUGACGGUACCUGCAGAAGAAGGAGCGGCCAACUAUGUGCCAGCAGCCGCGGUGAUACAUAGGCUUCAAGCGUUGUCCGGAUUUAUUGGGCGUAAAGAGUUCGUAGGCGGUCAAGUAAGUCGGGUGUGAAAAUUCUGGGCUCAACCCAGAGACGCCACCCGAUACUGCUUAACUUGAGUUCGAUAGGGGAGUGGGGAAUUCCUAGUGUAGCGGUGAAAUGCGCAGAUAUUAGGAGGAACACCGGUGGCGAAGGCGCCACUCUGGAUCGAUACUGACGCUGAGGAACGAAAGCAUGGGUAGCAAGCAGGAUUAGAUACCCUGGUAGUCCAUGCCGUAAACGGUGGGCACUAGGUGUGGGUUUCUAUUAACGAAAUCCGCGCCGUCGCUAACGCAUUAAGUGCCCCGCCUGGGGAGUACGGUCGCAAGCUAAAACUUAAGGAAUUGACGG